rnacentral:rRNA from 1 species
GACGAACGCUGGCGGCGUGCUUAACACAUGCAAGUCGAACGGAAAGGCCCUGCUUUUGUGGGGUGCUCGAGUGGCGAACGGGUGAGAAACACGUGAGUAACCUGCCCUUGACUUUGGGAUAACUUCAGGAAACUGGGGCUAAUACCGGAUAGGAGCUCCUGCUGCAUGGUGGGGGUUGGAAAGUUUCGGCGGUUGGGGAUGGACUCGCGGCUUAUCAGCUUGUUGGUGGGGUAGUGGCUUACCAAGGCCUUGACGGGUAGCCGGCCUGAGAGGGUGACCGGCCACAUUGGGACUGGGAUACGACCCGGACUCCUACGGGAGGCAACGGUGGAGAAUAUUACACAGUGGGCGGAAGCCUGGUGCGGCAACGCCGCGUGCGGGAUGACAGCCUUCGGGUUGUAUACCGCUUUCGCCUGUGACGAGGCGUGAGUGACGGUAAUGGGUGAAGAAGCACCGGCUAACUACGUG